rnacentral:rRNA from 1 species
UAGUUGAGCGCUUCCAGCCAAAACGGGAGCGCAGCGCACAGCUCAGUAACACGUGGCUAAUCUGCCCUUGGGACCGGAACACCCCCGGGAAACUGGGGCUAAUUCUCGAUAGGUGAAGAACUCUGGAAUGAGUCUUUGCCAAAAAGACGUUUACGUUAUGCUCGUAGGCGUCGCCCAAGGAUGAGGCCGCGACCGAUCAGGUUGUUGGUGAGGUAAUGGCUCACCAAGCCUUUUACCGGUGCGGGCCGUGAGAGCGGGAGCCCGGAGAUGGGCACUGAGACAAGGGCCCAGGCCCUACGGGGCGCAGCAGUCGCGAAAACUUUGCAAUACACGAAAGUGUGACAGGGCUAUCCCGAGUGCCAUCCGCUGAGGAAGGCUUUUACCCAGUCUAGAACGCUGGGGGAAUAAGGAGAGGGCAAGUCUGGUGUCAGCCGCCGCGGUAAUACCAGCUCUCCGAGUGGUGUGGAUGUUUAUUGGGCCUAAAGCAUCCGUAGCUGGCUGAGUUAGUCCCUUGUUAAAUCCACCGAAUUAAUCGUUGGAUUGCGGGGGAUACUGCUCGGCUAGGGGACGAGAGAGGCAGACGGUAUUUCUGGGGUAGGGGUGAAAUCCUAUAAUCCCAGGAGGACCACCAGUGGCGAAGGCUGUCUGCUAGAACGCGCCCGACGGUGAGGGAUGAAACUGGGGGAGCGAACCGGAUUAGAUACCCGGGUAGUCCCAGCUGUAAACGAUGCAGACUAGGUGUUUGGACGGCCACGUGCCGUUCUAGUGCCGCAGGAAGCUGUUAAGUCUGCCGCCUGGGGAGUACGAUCGCAAGAUUGAAACUUAAAGGAAUUGGCGGGGGAGCACACAAGGGGUGAAGCUUGCGGUUU